rnacentral:rRNA from 1 species
CUUCUUUUUCACCGGAGCUUGCUCCACCGGAAAAAGAGGAGUGGCGAACGGGUGAGUAACACGUGGGUAACCUGCCCAUCAGAAGGGGAUAACACUUGGAAACAGGUGCUAAUACCGUAUAACAAUCAAAACCGCAUGGUUUUGAUUUGAAAGGCGCUUUCGGGUGUCGCUGAUGGAUGGACCCGCGGUGCAUUAGCUAGUUGGUGAGGUAACGGCUCACCAAGGCCACGAUGCAUAGCCGACCUGAGAGGGUGAUCGGCCACAUUGGGACUGAGACACGGCCCAAACUCCUACGGGAGGCAGCAGUAGGGAAUCUUCGGCAAUGGACGAAAGUCUGACCGAGCAACGCCGCGUGAGUGAAGAAGGUUUUCGGAUCGUAAAACUCUGUUGUUAGAGAAGAACAAGGAUGAGAGUAACUGUUCAUCCCUUGACGGUAUCUAACCAGAAAGCCACGGCUAACUACGUGCCAGCAGCCGCGGUAAUACGUAGGUGGCAAGCGUUGUCCGGAUUUAUUGGGCGUAAAGCGAGCGCAGGCGGUUUCUUAAGUCUGAUGUGAAAGCCCCCGGCUCAACCGGGGAGGGUCAUUGGAAACUGGGAGGCUUGAGUGCAGAAGAGGAGAGCGGAAUUCAUGUGUAGCGGUGAAUGCGUAAUA